CGGGAAACUGGGGAUAAUACCCGAUGGUCCUCGACUGCUGGAAUGCAUCGAGGACUAAAGCUCCGGCGCCUAAGGAUGGGUCUGCGGCCUAUCAGGUAGUAGUGGGUGUAGCGUACCUACUAGCCUACGACGGGUACGGGUUGUGAGAGCAAGAGCCCGGAGAUGGAUUCUGAGACAUGAAUCCAGGCCCUACGGGGCGCAGCAGGCGCGAAAACUUUACAAUGCGGGAAACCGUGAUAAGGGAACCCCGAGUGCCCGUAGAAUCGGGCUGUUGAUCUGUGUAAAAAGCAGGUAAAGAAAGGGCCGGGCAAGACCGGUGCCAGCCGCCGCGGUAAUA
rnacentral:rRNA from 1 species